ACCGAAGCUCGUAACCGCCUCCGGGCGUGACGGGCGGCUGGUAUCCUCCUUCUGAGGGGUGUAUGGCGCAGCUUGGGCCGGCCUUUGCAGGUCGCGAAUCCCCAGUGCUGCGGCGGACCACUCCUUGGGCAACUCAGUGGGGGCAAUUGGAUGGCUCGUAGACACCUCUGGCGGCUCCGGCCCUGGGGGUGACUCGGGCUGGGUGUUGGAUUUCGGUCCACGUCCCGACCUUUUAACCAACUCUGAUACCUCUUAGUUGAGGGUUGCCGGGUGGCCUUUCGCCCUUCGGGGUGAACGGCCCUCCGGGAAAGAUAGUUACCUGGUUGAUUCUGCCAGUAGUCAUAUGCUUGUCUCAA
rnacentral:misc_RNA from 1 species